rnacentral:hammerhead_ribozyme from 1 species
ACACUACUGAGGGGUCCCAUAAUAGGAUGAAACGAUCGUCCAAUGU